CACGUAGGCGGUCUUCUAAGUUCGACGUGAAAGCCCUCGGCUCAACCGGGGAACUGCGCCGGAUACUGGAAGACUCGAGGUCGGUUGGGGUGAGUGGAACUCCUGGUGGAGCGGUGAAAUGCGUAGAUAUCAGGAGGAACACCAGUGGCGAAAGCGGCUCACUGGACCGAUCCUGACGCUGAGGUGCGAAAGCUAGGGUAGCGAACG
rnacentral:rRNA from 1 species